GACGAACGCUGGCGGCGUGCUUAACACAUGCAAGUCGAGCGGUAAGGCCCUUUCGGGGGUACACGAGCGGCGAACGGGUGAGUAACACGUGGGUGACCUGCCCUCAGCUCUGGGAUAAGCCUGGGAAACUGGGUCUAAUACUGGAUAUGACUCCACGGUGCAUGUCGUGGGGUGGAAAGCCUUGUGCGGCUGAGGAUGGGCCCGCGGCCUAUCAGCUUGUUGGUGGGGUGANGGCCUACCAAGGCGACGACGGGUAGCCGGCCUGAGAGGGCGACCGGCCACACUGGGACUGAGGCACGGCCCAGACUCCUACGGGAGGCAGCAGUGGGGAAUCUUGCGCAAUGGGCGAAAGCCUGACGCAGCGACGCCGCGUGAGGGAUGACGGCCU
rnacentral:rRNA from 1 species